AUGAACGCUGGCGGCGUGCCUAACACAUGCAAGUCGAGCGGCAGCGAGGGGUGCUUGCACCCUGUCGGCGAGCGGCGGACGGCUGAGUAACGCGUGGGAACGUGCCCCAAAGUGAGGAAUAACUGCCCGAAAGGGUAGCUAAUACCGCAUAUUAUCUUCGGAUCAAAGGAUUUAUCCGCUUUGGGAGCGGCUCGCGUCGGAUUAGGUAGUUGGUGAGGUAAUGGCUCACCAAGCCGACGAUCCGUAGCUGGUCUGAGAGGAUGACCAGCCAGACUGGAACUGAGACACGGUCCAGACUCCUACGGGAGGCAGCAGUGAGGAAUCUUCCACAAUGGGCGAAAGCCUGAUGGAGCAACGCCGCGUGCAGGACGAAGGCCUUCGGGUUGUAAACUGCUUUUAUAAGUGAGGAAUAUGACGGUAACUUAUGAAUAAGGAUCGGUUAACUACGUG
rnacentral:rRNA from 1 species